GGGGGUGUAGCUUAGUGGUAGAGCGCUUGCCUAGUUCCCGAAAUCCUGAGUUCCAUCUCAAGCACCCCCA
rnacentral:tRNA from 1 species